GAAAUGCGAUAAGUAAUGUGAAUUGCAGAAUUCAGUGAAUCAUCGAAUCUUUGAACGCACAUUGCGCCCGCCAGUAUUCUGGCGGGCAUGCCUGUCCGAGCGUCAUUUCAACCAUCAAGCCCCCGGGCUUGUGUUGGGGACCUGCGGCUGCCCGCAGGCCCUGAAAACCAGUGGCGGGCUCGCUGUCACACCGAGCGUAGUAGCAAUCACCUCGCUCAGGGCGUGCUGCGGGUUCCGGCCGUUAAACAGCCUUACAAAACCCAAGGUUGACCUCGGAUCAGGUAGGAAGACCAGCUUAACUUAAGC
rnacentral:misc_RNA from 1 species